AUUAAGGCGGCGUCGGCGAUGAGCUUGAACUCACACCUCGCCGAAUCGGGUGUCAGUAUCAUAUAAAAGCUGGGAGUCUCUCCGACAUCGGACACAGUGCAAGUUCUAAUUGCGAUAAGAGAAGUUUUACCCCUCCCAAACAAGCCAAAACCAGCCAAAACAUGAAGUGCUUCAUCGCCUUUGCCCUGCUCGUCGUGGCCGUCGCCGCCCAGAACAAGUACACCACCAAGUACGACGGCAUCGACAUCGACGAGAUCCUCAAGUCCGAUCGGCUGUUCAACAACUACUACAAGUGCCUGCUGGACCAGGGCCGUUGCACCCCCGAUGCCAACGAGCUGAAGCGAAUCCUGCCGGAGGCCCUGCAAACGAACUGCGCCAAGUGUACCGAGAAGCAAAAAGGACGGUGCCGUCCGCGUGAUCAACUACCUGAUCGACAACCGUUCGGCGCAGUGGCAGGUUCUGCAGAAGAAGUUCGACCCGGAGAACGUGUACAUCAACCAGUACCGCAACGAGGCCCGUGCCGCCGGAAUCAAGGUUUAAGCGACGUGACGCCCGGACCGGAAUACCUCUCUCACUCUCUCUCUGUAACGCUUCAAAAACGGACAUCCCUAGCAGACCAAAGUUCCAGAUUUUUUAAUGUUGCAACGUUCAGCGUUUCGCAGAAGCCUCAAGGAUGAGGGAUUUUCUCGUUUUUAUUAUUUUUUGUGUUUUGUUCAGCCUUUUCUAGGAAGUGAAUCGGAAAGCGUUUAAUAAAUGCAAAACGUUUAAGUUUUUUUUAUAUAAUUCAA